rnacentral:rRNA from 1 species
UACGGAGGAUGCAAGCGUUAUCCGGAAUUAUUGGGCGUAAAGGGUCCGCAGGUGGCAAUGUAAGUCUGCUGUCAAAGAAUGAGGCUUAACCUCAUCAAGGCAGUGGAAACUACAUAGCUAGAGUACGGUCGGGGUAGAAGGAAUUCCUGGUGUAGCGGUGAAAUGCGCAGAUAUCAGGAAGAACACCAAUGGCGAAAGCAGCUCUCUGGGACGGUACUGACGCUGAGACGCGAAAGCGUGGGGAGCGAACAGG